GACAGAGGGUGCUAGCGUUGUUCGGAAUUACUGGGCGUAAAGGGCGCGUAGGCGGUCUGUUAAGUUCGGUGUGAAAUCCCCUGGCUCAACUGGGGAACUGCGCUGGAAACUGGCAGACUCGAGUACCGGAGAGGAGAGUGGAAUUCCCAGUGUAGCGGUGAAAUGCGCAGAUAUCAGGAGGAACACCAAUGGCGAAGGCAGCUCGCUGGGACGUGACUGACGCUGAGACGCGAAAGCGUGGGGAGCAAACAGG
rnacentral:rRNA from 1 species